UAGGCAUAGCGGUCAUAGGUUUCCAAUAUAGGGUGGUGUUUAUGUGACCAUCGCUUAUUAGCUCUGUAGUGUUCAGGAAGUGGAUCUCUUGUGUGGACUGGUCCAGGCUGAGGUUGAUGGAAAUAAGUCUACCUAAAUUACGCUACUCUAGCUAUAUGAGUAACACAACUGGAGUCAAGGUAGCUUAGGUUGAUUUAUCCCGGCGCUGCGUCGACUUACCUUACUCUUCUCUGGGAGCUGGAAUACCGGAAUUGGCCGGAGAAUGCUGUGCCAUCAAUUUAGCAGGUCUUCACUGACCAGCUAAAUUGACACCCGCUGCAUCUAUUGCAGUUGCAUUGAUCCCCCCAGGUAGUGAAGAUAAACCCUGAAAUAAGGAUUUUCAAAUCUUUCUAUAUAGUCCCCAUAGUUUGUCUAAAUUGAAAUUUCCCCUAUCAGGUUAGUGCACACUUUAAGGGUAUGUCUAUACUACCCACUGGAUCAGUGGGCAGCAAUCGAUCCAGCGGGGGUUGAUUUAUUGUGUUUAGUCUAGUUGUGAUAAUUCAACCCCCGAGCACUCUCCCAUCAACUCCUGUACUCCAUUGCCGCGAGGCGCAGGUGGAGUCGACGGGGGAGCAGCAGCAGUCGACUCACCGUAGUGAAGAUACUGCAGUGAGUAGGUCUAAGUAUGUCGACUUCAGCUACGUUAUUCAUGUAGCUGAAGUUGCGUAACUUCGAUCUAUUUCCCCCUCCGUCACCCCUCCCUCCCCCACAGUGCAGACUAGGCCUAAGUGGAUUCAUGCAAAGGAUAGAGAUGUUGAAAGCAGCACUUUCAGGUGAAGCUGGAUGGGAGUCUCUAAAUGGCUCUGACAAAAAUGAGUAGCCCUGAAUAGUGGUUUUACUGUCUGUGGUGUCUGCUGUAAAUUUUUAUCCAUGUGGACUGCCUUUUCCCUACAGCUGCUUAACAUUUUACUCUAUUUCUUUUCUGUGUAGAUUCUCAUGUCAUUCUUUGAGCGCCUUCCAGUAGUUCAUUAAGUAACAUCUCUUGUGUGGUUCAUUCAUUGACUUACCUUCUCUCUAUGGCAUGGGCAGGUGUUGUGUACAGUAUAGUGUGUUGGGUUUUGGUAGGCUUUUUAAUAUAUACAUACUGCUAUAUUUUUAGGUAGGAGAAGGCAAGAUCAACAAGGGGUACACCUCAUACUUGGAGCAGAAGGUGGAACUCUUGCAUCCAAAUGGUGUUUUUUGCUAUGGAAUGGGAAUUCUGGAACUAGCAUCCAGCCUGCACUAUUGCAGAUACACAUCCCCAGAGGAAAGGCUUGGACAAUACAAUAGUUCAUGUGCAAGAACUGACCAGUGAAGCUCCUGAAUCCAGAAGUGGCAGCAAUAGGUAUCUGCUUCUGCUUGUUCUCAUCCUAUCCUAGAGAAUCCAACAGCAGGAUCAAUGAGAGCCAGAAAAGGAUAACUGAUUUUUUUCCUAUCUCCCCUAUCUAAUUGAUUUCAUAAGCCAUGAAGUAGGAAGCUAAAGUGCUUCACCAAUUUUUGUUGUGUCCAAUUCCAUAUGCAGUAAGAUGCAAUUACAGCUUGGUAGGAUGUGGUGAAAUUAGAAAUGGAAUUGAGCUGUGAAGUUUGGAUCUGGGUCUCAACAAUCCCAGAUUUCAGCAAGCUUUGGACUUGUGGUUCUGUUUCAAGACCAUCUCUAGAUGAGAUGAAAUGAAAUGAGAUAAAAAUAGCAUGUGAUUAAAAUAAGGAGAGAUUAUCACAUGGUGAAGAAAACUUGUGAUAUCGAAAGCCUGAAAUAAAAAUGGCAUGGAAAUCAUAUUCAUGCUGUAAGACAACCCUUCCAAUAUUUGGAGUUAUCAAAUGCCACAACCUCACUUGGGCUUUUCAGUUUGCAAAAGCUUGCACCCAAAAGCCAUGUUGUUUUGUUAAUCUAAUGCCAUGAUGCUUAUUUUUUUUAAAUACUAGAUUCAAUUAUGCCCUAGUUUUGUAUAUCCAGUGUCUUAUUUAUUUUAAUUAAAUUAACGACGAGUAAAAUUA